UACGGAGGGUGCGAGCGUUAAUCGGAAUUACUGGGCGUAAAGCGUGCGCAGGCGGUUCGUUGUGUCGGCGGUGAAAGCCCCGGGCUUAACCUGGGAAUGGCCGUUGAAACUGGCGAACUGGGAGUGUGGCAGAGGGGGGUGGAAUUCCGCGUGUAGCAGUGAAAUGCGUAGAUAUGCGGAGGAACACCGAUGGCGAAGGCAAUCCCCUGGGCCUGCACUGACGCUCAUGCACGAAAGCGUGGGGAGCAAACAGG
rnacentral:rRNA from 1 species